rnacentral:rRNA from 1 species
UACGAAAAGUUCUGAUGGAGCAAUACCACGUGAACGAAGAAGGUCUUCUGAUUGUAAAGUUCUUUUAUUUAGGAAAAAAAGCGCGCUAGGAAAUGAGCGCGCCUUGAUGGUACUAAUUGAAUAAGUGACAGCUAACUAUGUGCCAGCAGCUGCGGUAAAACAUAGGUCACGAGCAUUAUCCGGAUUUAUUGGGCGUAAAGGAAGCGUAGGUGGAGAGGUUGAUCCAUUGUUAAAGGCAUUUGCUUAACAAAUGUGUGCGAUGGAGAUCGCCUCCCUAGAGUUAAUCAGGGGGUACUGGAAUUCAAUGUGUAGCGGUGGAAUGCGUAGAUAUAUUGAGGAACACCAGAGGCUAAGGCGAGUACCUAGGAUAUAACUGACACUGAGGCUUGAAAGCGUGGGGAGCAAAUGGGAUUAGAUACCCCAGUAGUCCACGCCGUAAACGAUGGGCAUUAGGUAUUUGACAUCUGGUCGAGUGCUGUAACUAACGCGUUAAAUGCCCCGCCUGGGUAGUAUAUAUGCAAAUAUGAAACUCAAAGAAAUUGACGGGGACCUGAACAAGUGGCGGAGCAUGUAGCUUAAUUCAAUAAUACACCACCAACUAAAACC